GUGGACGUGCCGUAGUGGUUAUCAGGCAUGACUAGAAAUCAUGUGGGCUCUACCCAUGUAGGUUCGACUCUUGCCGUCCACG
rnacentral:tRNA from 1 species